GGAUCCCAUUUGUAAUUCAGAUGGGUUGCCAGAGAGAGGCCAAAUGUUCUUUUCCUUCCUGACGUAAAAAUUGAUUUAAAAAUCUCAAAUCUCGAGGCCUGUUUUCAGUGCCAAACUGCAGAAUGACUGGCCAGGAAGAUGGAUGGGGUCCCGGUCAUGCAGACUGCCCACCGCUUCUUACUCCAUGAGGAUUCAGCAAUAAAAGAAAAUGAUUCCCAUCAACAAUCUCUGACAGUGAUUUUUAAUAUGCCUCAUCUCCCACUGGCAAGCGUUUUGUUCUGUUUUGUUUUGUGGACUAGAAAGAAUUCCUUAACAGGUUGAGCUUGUGAAAUUAGAGUUGUUUUCUCAAAGGAUUAAAUUCCCAAAUACUCCUGGAAAUAAAGGCACACUAUAAUGAAAUUCUUGCUUUUCAUUAAAAGAGAAUUAAACCAAUGACCUUUUACAUAUUUUUGUCUUUUGUUUUGUAUUCCAAACGAUUGGGGUUUGAUUGCAUUAUAUUAUUUAAGUUCCCGGAUGUUUAAAUAUUUAAUAUACAUAACUCUUCAUAGACACCCAAAGAUGUCUGCCCACAUUCUUUCAAUGCUAUAGAAGUUAAGAAGGGCAAAUUCACCAGCUAAAUUACACA
rnacentral:lncRNA from 1 species